AUUGAACGCUGGCGGCAGGCCUAACACAUGCAAGUCGAGCGAGCGGCGGACGGGUGAGUAAUGUAUGGGGAUGUCCCCGAUAGAGGGGGAUAACUACUGGAAACGGUGGCUAAUCCCGCAUAAUAUCGUAUGCACCCAUGUGGGAUUAGCUAGUAGGUGGGGUAACGGCUCACCUCGGCGACGAUCUCUAGCGGGUCUGAGAGGAUGAGCAGCCACACUGGGACUGAGACACGGGCCAGACUCCUACGGGAGGCAGCAGUGGGGAAUAUUGCACAAUGGGCGCAAGCCUGAUGCAGCCAUGCCGCGUGUAUGAAGAAGGCCUUCGGGUUGUAAAGUACUUUCAGCGAGGAGGCGUUACUCGCAGAAGAAGCACCGGCUAACUCCGUGCCAGCAGCCGCGGUAAUUC
rnacentral:rRNA from 1 species